rnacentral:lncRNA from 1 species
AGAAGAGACCACCAACACUGCCCACCCCUGCCCACAUCCCUGGCCCAAGAGGAAACUGUAUAAGGCCUCUGGGCUCCCGUGGGGGAGGGCCCAGGAGCGGCAGGACCCCUGCCUGAGACACCGCCGGAACCUGAGGGAAACAGACCGGAUAAACAGUUCUCUGCACCCAAAUCCCGUGGGAGGGAGAGCUGAACCUUCAGAGAGGCAGACAAGCCUGGGAAACCAGAAGAGACUGCUCUCUGUACAUACAUCUCAGACGCCAGAGGAAAACACCAAAGGCCAUCUGGAACCCUGGUGCACUGAAGCUCCUGGAAGGGGCGGCACAGGUCUUCCUGGUUGCUGCCGCCGCAGAGAGCCCUUGGGCAGCACCCCGCGUGCAAACUUGAGCCUCGGGACCACAGGUAAGACCAACUUGUCUGCUGCAAGAAAGCUGCCUGGUGAACUCAAGACACAGGCCCACAGGAACAGCUGAAGACCUGCAGAGAGGAAAAACUACACGCCCGAAAGCAGAACACUCUGUCCCCAUAACUGACUGAAAGAGAGGAAAACAGGUCUACAGCACUCCUGACACACAGGCUUAUAGGACAGUCUAGCCACUGUCAGAAAUAGCAGAACAAAGUAACACUAGAGAUAAUCUGAUGGCGAGAGGCAAGCGCAGGAACCCAAGCAACAGAAACCAAGACUACAUGCCAUCAUCGGAGCCCAAUUCUCCCACCAAAACAAACAUGGAAUAUCCAAACACACCAGAAAAGCAAGAUCUAGUUUCAAAAUCAUAUUUGAUCAUGAUGCUGGAGGACUUCAAGAAAGACAUGAACACACUUAGGGAAACACAGGAAAACAUUAAUAAACAAGUAGAAGCCUACAGAGAGGAAUCGCAAAAAUCCCUGAAAGAAUUCCAGGAAAACACAAUCAAACAGUUGAAGGAAUUAAAAAUGGAAAUAGAAGGAAUCAAGAAAGAACACAUGGAAACAACCCUGGAUAUAGAAAACCAAAAGAAGAGACAAGGAGCUGUAGAUACAAGCCUCACCAACAGAAUUCAAGAGAUGGAAGAGAGAAUCUCAGGAGCAGAAGAUUCCAUAGAAAUCAUUGACUCAACUGUCAAAGAUAAUGUAAAGCAGAAAAAGCUACUGGUCCAAAACAUACAGGAAAUCCAGGACUCAAUGAGAAGAUCAAACCUAAGGAUAAUAGGUAUAGAAGAGAGUGAAGACUCCCAGCUCAAAGGACCAGUAAAUAUCUUCAACAAAAUCAUAGAAGAAAACUUCCCUAACUAAAAAAAGAGAUACCCAUAGGCAUACAAGAUGCCUACAGAACUCCAAAUAGAUUGGACUAGAAAAGAAACACCUCCCGUCACAUAAUAGUCAAAACACCAAAUGCACAAAAUAAAGAAAGAAUANNNNAAGCAGUNNNNNNAAANNNUCAAGUAACAUAUAAANNCAGANNUAUCAGAAUCACACCAGACUUCUCGCCAGAAACUAUGAAGGCCAGAAGAUCCUGGACUGAUGUCAUACAGACCCUAAGAGAACACAAAUGCCAGCCCAGGUUACUGUAUCCUGCAAAACUCUCAAUUAACAUAGAUGGAGAAACCAAGAUAUUCCAUGACAAAACCAAAUUUACACAAUAUCUUUCUACAAAUCCAGCACUACAAAGGAUAAUAAAUGGUAAAGCCCAACAUAAGGAGGCAAGCUAUACCCUAGAAGAAGCAAGAAACUAAUCGUCUUGGCAACAAAACAAAGAGAAUGAAAGCACACAAACAUAACCUCACAUCCAAAUAUGAAUAUAACGGGGAGCAAUAACCACUAUUCCUUAAUAUCUCUCAACAUCAAUGGCCUCAACUCCCCAAUAAAAAGAAAUAGAUUAACAAACUGGAUACGCAACGAGGACCCUGCAUUCUGCUGCCUACAGGAAACACACCUCAGAGACAAAGACAGACACUACCUCAGAGUGAAAGGCUGGAAAACAACUUUCCAAGCAAAUGGUCAGAAGAAGCAAGCUGGAGUAGCCAUUCUAAUAUCAAAUAAAAUCAAUUUUCAACUAAAAGUCAUCAAAAAAGAUAAGGAAGGACACUACAUAUUCACCAAAGGAAAAAUCCACCAAGAUGAACUCUCAAUCCUAAAUAUCUAUGCCCCAAAUACAAGGGCACCUACAUAUGUAAAAGAAACCUUACUAAAGCUCAAAACACACAUUGGACCUCACACAAUAAUAGUGGGAGAUUUCAACACCCCACUCUCAUCAAUGGACAGAUCAUGGAAACAGAAAUUAAACAGAGAUGUAGACAGACUAAGAGAAGUCAUGAGCCAAAUGGACCUAACGGAUAUUUAUAGAACAUUCUAUCCUAAAGCAAAAGGAUAUACCUUCUUCUCAGCUCCUCAUGGUACUUUCUCCAAAAUUGACCAUAUAAUUGGUCAAAAAACGGGCCUCAACAGGUACAGAAAGAUAGAAAUAAUCCCAUGCGUGCUAUCGGACCACCACGGCCUAAAACUGGUCUUCAAUAACAAUCAAGGAAGAAUGUCCACAUAUACUUGGAAAUUGAACAAUGCUCUACUCAAUGAUAACCUGGUCAAGGAAGAAAUAAAGAAAGAAAUUAAAAACUUUUUAGAAUUUAAUGAAAAUGAAGGUACAACAUACCCAAACUUAUGGGACACAAUGAAAGCUGUGCUAAGAGGAAAAUUCAUAGCGCUGAGUACCUGCAGAAAGAAACAGGAAAGAUCAUAUGUCAGCAGCUUGACAGCACACCUAAAAGAUCUAGAACAAAAAGAAGCAAAUACACCCAGGAGGAGUAGAAGGCAGGAAAUAAUCAAACUCAGAGCUGAAAUCAACCAAGUAGAAACAAAAAGGACCAUAGAAAGAAUCAACAGAACCAAAAGUUGGUUCUUUGAGAAAAUCAACAAGAUAGAUAAACCCUUAGCCAGACUAACGAGAGGACACAGAGAGUGCGUCCAAAUUAACAAAAUCAGAAAUGAAAAGGGAGACAUAACAACAGAUUCAGAGGAAAUUCAAAAAAUCAUCAGAUCUUACUACAAAAACCUAUAUUCAACAAAACUUGAAAAUCUUCAGGAAAUGGACAAUUUCCUAGACAGAUACCAGGUACCGAAGUUAAAUCAGGAACAGAUAAACCAGUUAAACAACCCCAUAACUCCUAAGGAAAUAGAAGCAGUCAUUAAAGGUCUCCCAACCAAAAAGAGCCCAGGUCCAGACGGGUUUAGUGCAGAAUUCUAUCAAACCUUCAUAGAAGACCUCAUACCAAUAUUAUCCAAACUAUUCCACAAAAUUGAAACAGAUGGAUCACUACCGAAUACCUUCUACGAAGCCACAAUUACUCUUAUACCUAAACCACACAAAGACACAACAAAGAAAGAGAACUUCAGACCAAUGUCCCUUAUGAAUAUCGACGCAAAAAUACUCAACAAAAUUCUGGCAAACCGAAUUCAAGAGCACAUCAAAACAAUCAUCCACCAUGAUCAAGUAGGCUUCAUCCCAGGCAUGCAGGGAUGGUUUAAUAUACGGAAAACCAUCAACGUGAUCCAUUAUAUAAACAAACUGAAAGAACAAAACCACAUGAUCAUUUCAUUAGAUGCUGAGAAAGCAUUUGACAAAAUUCAACACCCCUUCAUGAUAAAAGUCCUGGAAAGAAUAGGAAUUCAAGGCCCAUACCUGAACAUGGUAAAAGCCAUAUACAGCAAACCAGUUGCUAACAUUAAACUAAAUGGAGAGAAACUUGAAGCAAUCCCACUAAAAUCAGGGACUAGACAAGGCUGCCCACUCUCUCCCUACUUAUUCAAUAUAGUUCUUGAAGUUCUAGCCAGAGCAAUCAGACAACAAAAGGAUGUCAAGGGGAUACAGAUCGGAAAAGAAGAAGUCAAAAUAUCACUAUUUGCAGAUGAUAUGAUAGUAUAUUUAAGUGAUCCCAAAAGUUCCACCAGAGAACUACUAAAGCUGAUAAACAACUUCAGCAAAGUGGCUGGGUAUAAAAUUAACUCAAAUAAAUCAGUUGCCUUCCUCUAUACAAAAGAGAAACAAGCCGAGAAAGAAAUUAGGGAAAUGACACCCUUCAUAAUAGACCCAAAUAAUAUAAAGUACCUCGGAGUGACUUUAACAAAGCAAGUAAAAGACCUGUACAAUAAGAACUUCAAGACACUGAAGAAGGAAAUUGAAGAAGACCUCAGAAGAUGGAAAGAUCUCCCAUGCUCAUGGAUUGGCAGGAUUAAUAUAGUAAAAAUGGCCAUUUUACCAAAAGCAAUCUACAGAUUCAAUGCAAUCCCCAUCAAAAUACCAAUCCAAUUCUUCAAAGAGUUAGACAGAACAAUUUGCAAAUUCAUCUGGAAUAACAAAAAACCCAGGAUAGCUAAAGCUAUCCUCAACAAUGAAAGGACUUCAGGGGGAAUCACUAUCCCUGAACUCAAGCAGUAUUACAGAGCAAUAGUGAUAAAAACUGCAUGGUAUUGGUACAGAGACAGACAGAUAGACCAAUGGAAUAGAAUUGAAGACCCAGAAAUGAACCCACACACAUAUGGUCACUUGAUUUUUGACAAAGGAGCCAAAACCAUCCAAUGGAAAAAAGAUAGCAUUUUCAGCAAAUGGUGCUGGUUCAACUGGAGGUCAACAUGUAGAAGAAUGCAGAUCGAUCCAUGCUUAUCACCCUGUACAAAGCUUAAGUCCAAGUGGAUCAAGGACCUCCACAUCAAAGCAGACACACUCAAACUAAUAGAAGAAAAACUAGGGAAGCAUCUGGAACACAUGGGCACUGGAAAAAAUUUCCUGAACAAAACACCAAUGGCUUACGCUCUAAGAUCAAGAAUUGACAAGUGGGAUCUCAUAAAACUGCAAAGCUUCUGUAAGGCAAAGGACACUGUGGUUAGGACAAAACGGCAACCAACAGAUUGGGAAAAGAUCUUUACCAAUCCUACAACAGAUAGAGGCCUUAUAUCCAAAAUAUACAAAGAACUCAAGAAGUUAGACCACAGGGAAACAAAUAACCCUAUUAAAAAAUGGGGCUCAGAGCUAAACAAAGAAUUCACAGCUGAGGAAUGCCGAAUGGCGGAGAAACACCUAAAGAAAUGUUCAACAUCUUUAGUCAUAAGGGAAAUGCAAAUCAAAACAACCCUGAGAUUUCACCUCACACCAGUGAGAAUGGCUAAGAUCAAAAACUCAGGGGACAACAGAUGCUGGCGAGGAUGUGGAGAAAGAGGAACACUCCUCCAUUGUUGGUGGGAUUGCAAACUAGUACAACCAUUCUGGAAAUCAGUCUGGAGGAUCCUCAGAAAAUUGGACAUUGAACUGCCUGAGGAUCCAGCUAUACCUCUCUUGGGCAUAUACCCAAAAGAUGCCCCAACAUAUAAAAAAGACACGUGCUCCACUAUGUUCAUUGCAGCCUUAUUUAUAAUAGCCAGAAGCUGGAAAGAACCCAGAUGCCCUUCAACAGAGGAAUGGAUACAGAAAAUGUGGUACAUCUACACAAUGGAAUAUUACUCAGCUAUCAAAAACAACGACUUUAUGAAAUUCGUAGGCAAAUGGCUGGAACUGGAAAAUAUCAUCCUGAGUGAGCUAACCCAAACACAGAAAGACAUACAUGGUAUGCACUCACUGAUAAGUGGCUAUUAGCCCAAAUGCUUGAAUUACCCUAAGUGCCUAGAACAAAUGAAACUCAAGACAGAUGAUCAAAAUGUGAAUGGUUCACUCCUUCUUUAAAAGGGGAACAAGAAUACCCUUGGCAGGGAAGAGAGAGGUAAAGAUUAAAACAGAGACUGAAGGAACAUCCAUUCAGAGUCUGCCCCACAUGUGGCCCAUGCAUAUACAGCCAUCCAAUUAGACAAGGUGGAUGAAGCAAAGAAGUGCAGACCGACAGGAGCCGGAUGUAGA